CAGGGCACCACGGGGCAGGUGGAUGGAGGGGAAGGAACGGGUCAGGGCGAGCACUACUGGUGCAGGAUGACAUCAGGAGCCCAUGUCCCCCAGAGCAGCCCCCAGAGGCAGAGGACAUCCCACAAGGUGAGGGAUCGUGCCGACUGGACGGUGUGAGGGUCCUGUGCAGGCCCCAGGCUCCAGGAAGGAGGCCCAAGUGCGGCAGAUGCCCACCCUGCCCGCCCGCAGAGCUGGGAUUCCCAAGGCAGGGGGGAGUCUGCCGGCACGGCGACAAAUGGCAGCCCUCACAGCUACUCGGGAGGCUGAGGCAGGAGGAGCACAGGUUUAAGGUCAGUCUCAGCAACUCAGGAAGACCCUGUCUCAAAAUAAACAGCACCGCGGCUGGACCUGGGCGGACGUGCAGGUGCUCGCCUCGCCUGUGGGAGGCCCUGGGAUCCAUCCGGUAAUGACUACAAAGAGAGAGCCGUCCCCUCUGUACGCAAGCUGGACAGCAUGGCUGCAUCCCUCUGUCCUGGGUAGAGCUGGGUCCCUGAGGUAUCCGCUCAAGUCCCGAUGCCUGGUGCUGGGCUGUGGCCUCAUUGGGACACAGUCACCCUCCCUUAUCAGUGGUUUUGCUUUCUGCAUUUUCAGUUACUUGCCAUCCACUCUGGUCUGAAAAUACUAAAUAGAAAACUCCAGAAACAAAUAUGACCACAGAUAGAAUAAGAUCCGUAAGUUUUAAGUCUCCCUUUUCCUGAGGAGCGUGUGACUUCGUGCACUCUGUGGCUCCAGCACCUGGGUCAUCCUUUCGUUCAACGUAUCCGCACGGUGGAUGCUACUCUCCUGUUAGUGACUCAGUCACUGUCUCCGUUAUCAGACUGCCUGCUGUGGUGUCACGGUGCUUGUCUGCCAGGAACCCCUGUUUUUCUUCAUUAUGACCCCGAAAUGUCAUUAUUUGGCCUUUCAGACAUGCCACAGAGAAGCAGGGGCGAUGGACCCUCUGGCGCGAGGAGGUGAGUUCAUCACGGGUGUGCGGGUCCGGGCAACGUGGUUCUGUGUGCCCAGGGCUGGGUGACAUCCCCAUGGGCUUCCAUCGAGGGUCUUCCCAAAGCCAGCGAGGAGCUCCGGCAGGGUUCCCCGACGUGACGGAGUUAAGAUGAGGUCGGGCAGUGCUGGGUCACGGGGAGCCCCCACCUAACAGCUGUGUCUUUCUAAGAGGAGCAAACCGGGGAUUUGUGCAGUGAGCUGGGCGAUUCCAGGCUGCGGGAGGCUCUGGCUCCACAGGGGCUUGCAGAGGGCAGUGGGCAGAGAGACCAGGACGAGCAGUGGGCCCCGGUGAUGUUCCCUGGAGAGGGGUGGCCAGCUGGGAGGAGCGGCACGGUGAGCCCCGGGGCGGGGGACACACAGGCGGCUCUGUGGGCCCAGCUGAACCCUAUCCGAGGCAGAGCCUGUGGUUCCUCCAGGGCUGGGCGCACAGCAAGACCACUGUCCUGCAGCCGCUGGGCCGCUGCCCCGGGAGGAGCCCCGGCAGCUGGAGAAUUCUUUGGAAAGACACCCGCCUCUUGCCCGGUGCCCAGCCCCUACAGAGCGGGGCCUGUUCUGUUCGCAGCUGCGUCUGGACAGUGCUUCCCGGGGCCUGGGAGGGGGUCGCUUCCACAGGGAGGAGCGGCCUCGCGGCCUCGCAGAGGGAGCAGGCCUGCUGGAGCUGGGACCCGGCCACUGCCCGCCGUCCGCAGCUCGUGCCUCGGUGGCUCCCUGGUGCCACUGAGUCCCAGCAGGAGCCCCAGAACACGCGGGCUCCGCCUCUGCGGGUCCAACCAGCCUCGGGUGGAAAACGGUCCUUAAAAACGCGUCUGUGGACGCGCGUGGACGUUUCGCUUGUCAUGAAGCCAGGCAGCGGGACGGCUGUGUCCACGGCGCUUCACGGUGUGGGGAGUCCGAGUCACCUGGACGGGGCUUGAAGUCCGGGGUCUGUGCCAGCAUGGCACUAGCCUAACGGGGGGCCGAGUGCCUGUGGGUCCCGGAGCCGGUCCCGGGUACCAGGAGGCAGGGGCCUGCGGGGGUUGCUCGAGUCUGGGACGGUCGGCCGCCAGCUGCCAGGAGACCUGGGCGGAAGGAGGGUGCCAUGCCUUGGCCCUGGGCAGGGACACAAUGCUUUGGUCUGGGCAGAGACCAGAGUCCAUGGGGGCCAGAGGGGACAUGAGGCUGAGGACUGGCCAGAGGCCCCCUGGGCUCCUGGCACCUGGUGCUGGAUGGAACCCACGGAGGUCACCGCACCUAAAUCUGCCAAGAACACAGAGCCACAGCUUCCCGGGUGCUCCCAGAGCAAACGAGGCUCUGACGACCACUCUUGCCCAUUCUAGAAUAUUCCUAACGACACCCUGACCUGCUUGCUAAAAAGUGAUCCCUCAUCUGCCCGACUGCCGACUCUGGGCCUGAAGUCCCCCUCUGGGUGCCUGCCCUCAGGCCACGCACCCAGAAAAACGGUCCAACAACCCACCGCCCACGCGGGGACGCUGGGCAGGCCCCAAGACCCAGCUGGACGGGACAGGCCAGAGCCGCCGCAGAGCCCACCACUGAGGGAGGACAAUGUCCUGCGCCCGUCGAAAGGCCAGAAGCUGGAAGAAGGGUUCUGAGCGCGCGCGUGGGUGUGUGUGUACAUGCGUGCGUGUGUGUGCGUGUGUGUGCAUGCGUGCGUGUGUGU